CCCAGCUGAUGCUGCAGAUGGGCGUGCCAUGUGGGAGGUGCGCCGGUGGCUGGGAUCCAUCACUUCUGUUCACCAGAUUGUAUAUUGGAGGGAGGGGAGGAGAACCUGCAGGGGUGGUCUGUACGAGCAUCUUUCCGACGAUGACGACGUUUGGUUGGGUUCCCUUGGUAGCAUGGGCAUGAGAUCACCCAACUCCUCGAUCAAUCCCUGCUGUCAAGAUCCUGCAAGUCUUGCUUGGCUAUCAGCUGUAGUACAGGUUGACUUUCUCUUGCUUUGGUUGUCUGCGUUUUAAUGGACGUUUCCUCAUCUGACUACCCAAGGGAAACUAGAUACAUUGCGUGAUGCAGAUCAAUAGAGAGUAGACCAGGUAGGCAGGAUAAAAAUAUGAAAUAAUAAUGUUUGUUCUUUGUU